rnacentral:rRNA from 1 species
GACGAACGCUGGCGGCGUGCUUAACACAUGCAAGUCGAACGGAAAGGCUCGGUAUUUGUGGGGUGUGCGAGUGGCGAGCGGGGGAGUGACACGUGAGUAACAUCCCCCUGACUGUGGGGGAAAAACUGGAAAAAGGGGCGAAUACAGGAUAUGAGAUCCUGAAGCACAGGGGGGGUGGGUAAGUUUCGGCGGUGGGGGAUGGACACGCGGCUUAUCAGCUUGUUGGUGGGGUAGUGGCUUACCAAUGCAACGACGGGUAGCCGGCCUGGGAGGGUGACCGGCCCCAAUGGGACUGAGGUAGGGCCCAGACUGCUACGGGGGGCAGCGGUGGGGAAUAUUGCACAAUGGGCGGAAGCCUGAUGCAGCGACGCCGCGUGCGGAAUGACGGUUUUCGGGUUGUAAACCGCUUUCGGCUGUGAAGAAGCGAGAGUGACGGUAACUACUGAAGAAGCACCGGCUAACUACGUG